CCUACGGGUGGCUGCAGUGGGGAAUAUUGCACAAUGGGCGCAAGCCUGAUGCAGCCAUGCCGCGUGUGUGAAGAAGGCCUUCGGGUUGUAAAGCACUUUCAGCGGGGAGGAAGGCGGUGAGGUUAAUAACCUCAUCGAUCGACGUUACCCGCAGAAGAAGCACCGGCUAACUCCGUGCCAGCAGCCGCGGUAAUACGGAGGGUGCAAGCGUUAAUCGGAAUUACUGGGCGUAAAGCGCACGCAGGCGGUCUGUCAAGUCGGAUGUGAAAUCCCCGGGCUCAACCUGGGAACUGCAUUCGAAACUGGGAGGCUAGAGUCUUGUAGAGGGGGGUAGAAUUCCAGGUGUAGCGGUGAAAUGCGUAGAGAUCUGGAGGAAUACCGGUGGCGAAGGCGGCCCCCUGGACAAAGACUGACGCUCAGGUGCGAAAGCGUGGGGAGCAAACAGGAUUAGAUACCCCAGUAGUC
rnacentral:rRNA from 1 species